rnacentral:rRNA from 1 species
GACGAACGCUGGCGGCGUGCUUAACACAUGCAGGUCGAACGGAAAGGCCCUGCUUUUGUGGGGUGCUCGAGUGGCGAACGGGUGAGUAACACGUGAGUAACCUGCCCUUGACUUUGGGAUAACUUCAGGAAACUGGGGCUAAUACCGGAUAGGAGCUCCUGCUGCAUGGUGGGGGUUGGAAAGUUUCGGCGGUUGGGGAUGGACUCGCGGCUUAUCAGCUUGUUGGUGGGGUAGUGGCUUACCAAGGCUUUGACGGGUAGCCGGCCUGAGAGGGUGACCGGCCACAUUGGGACUGAGAUACGGCCCAGACUCCUACGGGAGGCAGCAGUGGGGAAUAUUGCACAAUGGGCGGAAGCCUGAUGCAGCAACGCCGCGUGCGGGAUGACGGCCUUCGGGCUGUAAACCGCUUUCGCCUGUGACGAAGCGUGAGUGACGGUAAUGGGUAAAGAAGCACCGGCUAACUACGUG